rnacentral:lncRNA from 1 species
AGUUGACGGCUUGUGUGUGCGGAGCCAGGCUGAGUUAUAGAGCCUUAUACUUUAUUUCCAAACCUGCAAUUCCACCCGCGUUUUUGUCAGUUAAUUACAUACAGAGCCCCUUUAUUUGCAGGGAAAUAUGUGAGUGGAGUUCUUUCUUUGUGGGUGUGGACGAGGCAGCUCUCACUCCUGCGAGGACGCGUCCAGCUCCUUGAGGAGUACGGUGGCAGGGAAGGGGACAGCACUGUCAUGGAGUCAGAUCUGAAUCACGUCCACGGAGCGGUUUACUUUGGGAAUUACCUCCUAUACAUUUCAAAUUCCAUGUUGGUCCCCAUUUGCUACUCUUUCAGAACUAAAAUAAAAUCCGAAGUCCCCAAGUGACUGAACAGACCCCCUCUUGGCCAAGGGGACCCCAGAGAAACCUGAAAGCUGAGCUCCCAGCCAUGAGGGGACGGGCGAUCGGACACGCUUCAUCACAGUCCCUCCCCUUUGUGGUUUAAACGACGAUGAUCGGCUGUCAUGCUAAAAUAGAGACACGAGACCGACAGCACAGACUCCUUAUGGCAAUAAGACACCAAAUUAUAAGCAGCACCUCAGGCCACGCCAGGUAAGGGUCGAGCCGCGCACUCUACACUUAGAGAACGGACUCUGCUCUCACACCACAGCGUCUUCUUUUUCUUCAGCAGCUAAACACGCACCGGCCCCGAGAUUCAAACGACUGCAGCUCAUCCACCUGCAGACGCUGGCUGACCCCGUUCCACAGCUGUGACUAUAGCUUUGAUUGGACAAGAGGUUGAUUUCAGUCUCCUGCUCCUCCUGGAACCUGAAUAUGUAUGUUUGGCCAGCUCAAUUCAGCAUGAGGCUCCUGCUGCAACACCGCCUCCUUCCAGGUGCCUGCCAGCUGUUUCUGCCAGAGGCUGCGUCUCCCGGCCUGUCAGAAUGGCCACCCUGCAGGCUGUAAUCCUUUAGAAGAAAUAAAGAUCCCCUUUCCAGAUGUAUAGAUCUUGUGAUUUUUUUCCAUUCACAUCCUUGCAUCUUAUAAUGCCCUGUCUCCAUGGGGGUUACAUAGAAAGCCCUCAGCCUCUAGGGCAG